GACGAACGCUGGCGGCGUGCUUAACACAUGCAAGUCGUGCGGUAAGGCCCUUUCGGGGGUACACGAGCGGCGAACGGGUGAGUAACACGUGAGCAACCUGCCCCUCACUUUGGGAUAACUGCCGGAAACGGUGGCCAAUACCGGAAAUGACUUCGCUACGCAUGUGGGGUGGUGGAAAGCCCUCGGGGGGUGGGGGAUGGGCUCGCGGUUUAUCAGCUUGUUGGUGGGGUGUUGGCCUACCAAGGGUUAGACGGGUAGCCGACAUGGGAGGGGGACCAGCGACACUGGAGCUGCGGAAGGCCCCAGACUCCAACGGGCGGCAACGGUGGGGAAUAUUGCGCAAUGAGCGAGAGCGUGUUACAGAGACACCGCGUGAGGAAUGCCGGGCUACGGGUUGUGAACCUCUUUCGCCUGAGAUGAGGCGGGAGUGACGGUAGCAGGUAAGGAAGCACCGGCUAACUACGUG
rnacentral:rRNA from 1 species